GACGAACGCUGGCGGCGUGCCUAAUACAUGCAAGUAGAACGCUGAAGCGAGGAGCUUGCUCUUCUUGGAUGAGUUGCGAACGGGUGAGUAACGCGUAGGUAACCUGCCUUGUAGCGGGGGAUAACUAUUGGAAACGAUAGCUAAUACCGCAUAACAAUGGAUGACACAUGUCAUUUAUUUGAAAGGGGCAAUUGCUCCACUACAAGAUGGACCUGCGUUGUAUUAGCUAGUAGGUGAGGUAAUGGCUCACCUAGGCGACGAUACAUAGCCGACCUGAGAGGGUGAUCGGCCACACUGGGACUGAGACACGGCCCAGACUCCUACGGGAGGCAGCAGUAGGGAAUCUUCGGCAAUGGGGGCAACCCUGACCGAGCAACGCCGCGUGAGGGAAGAAGGUUUUCGGAUCGUAAAGCUCUGUUGUAAGUCAAGAACGGGUGUGAGAGUGGAAAGUUCACACUGUGACGGUAGCUUACCAGAAAGGGACGGCUAACUACGUG
rnacentral:rRNA from 1 species